CAGAAAAAGCGAUGUUGGUGAGGUUCAAUCCGAAUACGGAUUUACAUUGUAUAAGCAGUAAAUACGAUCUUAGAUUGAGCCGCGCCAAUAUCACUACUUGAUGA
rfam:Lupinus angustifolius cultivar Tanjil chromosome LG01, whole genome shotgun sequence.